rnacentral:rRNA from 1 species
AGUGAACGCUGGCGGUAGGCCUAACACAUGCAAGUCGAACGGCAGCACAGUAAGAGCUUGCUCUUACGGGUGGCGAGUGGCGGACGGGUGAGGAAUACAUCGGAAUCUACUUUUUCGUGGGGGAUAACGUAGGGAAACUUACGCUAAUACCGCAUACGACCUACGGGUGAAAGCAGGGGAUCUUCGGACCUUGCGCGAUUGAAUGAGCCGAUGUCGGAUUAGCUAGUUGGCGGGGUAAAGGCCCACCAAGGCGACGAUCCGUAGCUGGUCUGAGAGGAUGAUCAGCCACACUGGAACUGAGACACGGUCCAGACUCCUACGGGAGGUAGCAGUGGGGAAUAUUGGACAAUGGGCGCAAGCCUGAUCCAGCCAUGCCGCGUGGGUGAAGAAGGCCUUCGGGUUGUAAAGCCCUUUUGUUGGGAAAGAAAAGCAGCAGGUUAAUACCCCGCUGUUCUGACGGUACCCAAAGAAUAAGCACCGGCUAACUUCGUG